GCCUCAUCUAUAGUCCAUCGGAGAUGAUUCGAGGAAAAGACGUUUGCCGCAUGUUGCUGGCGUUGGCUCUUCUUCUCAACUUUCAAGGUUUAAGUGCGUCGCCUUAUUACACCGAGUGUUGCUACAAGGACUCUGUGAAGAAUCAUUGCUGCAGCAGUAGACAGUACUGUCACAUCCAACCUCCAAGGGACCGCUCAAACCCAACGUCAUGCUGCGCUUUAUGGCGGUACCGCUUCGAGUAUUGCACGUUAUCCGGACAGAAUAUGGGUUGCGAUAACGAAAUUACGGAGUCACGGUGCUGUUCGCGUGUAACACAUGAUCUCAGAAAACCCCAUUCGACAUGUUGUCACGGCAUGAACAGAAGGCCAGCAGGAACACCAACCACUAUGUCAACCACACCCUCUCCUUCUCAAUGCUACAACGUCACAACCACACAUAGGUCUACUUGCUGGACGGACACGCGUACGCCGGUGACGACAGCGAGGCCAAAUUUGGGAUACCCCUUCUUCAUUUUCGGGAUACCUUUAAAUUGGGUGUGGCUUGGUGUAGGAAUGACCGCAGUGAUAUUUGUGUCCGUAAUGUUUUGUUGUGGGUUCGCUACUGGAAGAAGAUGUCGACC